GUGACUUGGCAUCGUGACGUCGUGUCUGCUAAGAACAUUCUACUGAAAGGACUAUGGACAUUGCUUGGACUUCCAAUACCUGCUGCAAUCAACCGAUAUUGGAAUCAAAUCAACGCCGAUGCCGCCGUCUUCGACGACGAUAACGACGUGGACAUAUCCGAAACCGAGUUCGAAUAGCAGCCAACUAAUCAUCACAAUACCAUACAAUAAAAUAAAAUAAAUCAUAAGUAACAUUUGUUACGUAACUGCUAUCCCGAAUAUGUGGGUUAGUUAUGCACAAAAAAAGUCAUUUCCCAUUUGGUUGAGAUGGCUGUGCGGGAGUACAAACAGAGCGUUUUUCCAUUAUAUGGGAAACACCCUAAUGUACAAUGUUCCAUUUAUUGACUAUUCAAAUAGUCCUUUUAAUAUUAGAAUCAGCUGUUUCAAUUAUCCAAUCUUAUGUAUUCUCAAUUCUAAUUACUUUAUAUA